GGUGGUGCACACCUGUCACCCCAGCACUUUGGGAGGCUGAGGCAGGAGGAUCACAAGUUCCAACCCAGUUUGAGCUGCCACGGCCCCCGCAUGGCUGAAGGGUUCAUGGAGUGAUGCAGAAACCCACAAAGCACCACGUAGGGCGCUGUCCAGGCUGAAAUGCGGCUCCAUGAGGCAGAGUGUGCACAGCCCCAGGUUCCAGCCUCAGCUCUGAGUGCAAGUAUGGACCCUACCUCGUCCAGAAGCCACCCUGCCUUGGCGCAAGAGGCUCCGUGGGAUCAUAACGCCUUCCAUAGCGACACCACCUUUUGCCCAAAGCCAGCAGUCAAGCAGCAGGGCUAAGAUUGAACCUCAGUCUACAGACGGGCGCAGGUCAUCUACCGGGUGUAUCAGCACCAGUCCCUUAUGAAAGCAUGGCUUUUGAUGGAUGGGUGCUGGCCCUCCCAGUGUAGACGCAGAUUCACUUGGACCAACUGGAGGUCCUAAAGGUCUCAAAAGACAAAACGCAGCAAAGCAGCAAAGUGGAUACAUGAGGCUUAUGCACUGAUCUCCUUACGUUGUUCUGAAGUUUUUAUUUUCCGCUCAGAGCCAGGUAUGGUGGCACAGUCCUGUAAUCUCAGAGCUCUGGAGGGUCAGGUACAAAGGUUGCCACAAAUUUGAAGGCAGCCUGGGCUACAUAGUAAGUUCAAGGUCAGCCCAAACUAUACAGCAAGGCCCUAUCUCAAAAAAUUUUUUUAAUAAAAAAAAGCCCAAAAAUUUGAAAUCUCAAUUUCAGUCUAACUUUGGCCUAAAAUGUGAAAAACAAACAUGUAGGGGAAAAAAUGCCAUUCUGUGAUCCUGAGUUAUCUAUAAACAGUCCCAUUGUGGCAUAUUUCUAGUGGCCCCCCAAAGCCUCACGUGGUCAUACUUGGGGCUUUCUGGAGGUGGCUGGAUCCAGAGUGCGUGAUGCUGGGAUUGAGGGUGUGAUGACCGGACUGAUGUGAGGUGUGAGGCUAGGAUUAAGGCUGUGCCACUCUGGGUGUGAGAGCCACCUGCCUGGAUAGAAUAUGAGGGGCAGAAAGACAGCUGCUAUUAUCACUUGCUUGAUGCUGCUUUGCUGCUUCUGCCUGCCAGGAACAGUUUCUCCUCUGCGAUGCCUCCCUGCCUUGGA